rnacentral:misc_RNA from 1 species
UAACUACCGAGCUAGAGCGUGUCAGAGGGAGGUGAAUUCCCGCGUGUAGCAGUGAAAUGCGUAGAUAUGCGGAGGAACACCGAUGGCGAAGGCAGCCUCCCGGAGGAUAACACUGACGUCACGCACGAAAGCGUGGGGAGCAAACAGGAUUAGAUACCCUGGUAGUCCACGCCCUAAACGAUGUCAACUAGCUGUUGGGGCCUUCGGGCCUUGGUAGCGCAGCUAACGCGUGAAGUUGACCGCCUGGGGGAGUACGGUCGCAAGAUUAAAACUCAAAGCGAACGACGGGACCCGCACAAGCGGUGGAUGAUGUGAUUAAUUCGAUGCAACGCGAAAACCUGGCCCUACCCUUGCGAUAUGUCUGGAAUCCCAUGAGAUUUGGGAGCAAGCUGCAAGAGAACCGGAACACAGGUGCUGCAUGGCUGUCGUCAGCUCUCGUGUCGUGAGAUGGUUAAGUCCUGCAACGAGCGCAACCUUGUCAUUGCCGUUACGAAAGGGCACUCAUCGAGACUGCCGGUGACAAACCGAGGAAGGUGGGGAUGACGUCGGUCUUCAUGGCCCUUAUGGGUAGGGUCAUCGUCAUACAAUGGUCGGGACAGAGGCCUGCCAACCCGCGAGGGGGAGCCAAUCCCAGAAACCCGAUCGUAGUCCGGAUCGCAGUCUGCAACCUGACUGCGGAAGUCGGAAUCGCUAGUAAUCGCGGAUCAGCAUGUCGCGGUGAAUACGUUCCCGGUCUUGUACACACCGCCCGUCACACCAUGGGAGCGGGUUUUACCAGAAGUAGUUAGCCUAACCGUAAGGAGGGCGAUUACCACGGUAGGAUUCAUGACUGGGGUGAAGUCGUAACAAGGUAA